CUCACAACUUUUAAAUUGGCAGGAGGCUGUAGGCAAUAUCAGCAGGAAACAACAGAGGGAGGCAGUUGGCACACAAAAUGGAGGCAGAGACAAAAUGGCUGACUGAGAAAUUUAAGGAGCGCAGUGUUCCGACAGGUUGUCAUAAGCAUCAUCUUUAUCCUGAGGGCUACUACGGUGAUGUACAACUGUUCCCCACAGUCCUUUUCAUCUCGUGUGCACAGAGUUAAGGAAGAAGCUGAAAUAAUUCACCACAAGAAGGGGCAGUGCCAGGAGGAGCUUCCUAGGAAUCAGGUUGGCUGGAAUGGCUUGAGUAGCAGCUGUUCCAGCCAGUGAGACCAAAAGAGGAAGUUGAAGGCAGGGGAGGUGGGGCUGGAGGAAGCUCCCUGCCCUGGAGGAUUCCCAGACUGCUGGGGCAGUAGAAGCUGGAGCCAAAGAAGGAAACCUCUUGUGACCUCAGAAUAAGAGUAACAAUAUGUGGAAGAGGUGUUGGUGGGGCCAAGGAGACGGGUUUCUUUAGCAGGAGUUAUCAAGAGUGACCAUGCUGCCUGUCCUUUUGUGUACUGGGAAAAUGCAUUCUCAGGCUGUGAGUCACCUCUGUAGCUCUGGCAACCAGGCUUCCCACCUUUGAAAUUCGUUCCACCUUUUGCACCUUUGAGCUCUGACCAAUUGGCUUGUAAAUGGCCUGUUUCAUCACAAUUAAAGCAAUGUUUUUGUUUGCUACAAAAGGCUGUAGUACUGUCACUAUCCAUUCCAGAAUCUGCCAUUCGCUGUUUAAUAUUAAAAUCUUGCAGGCAUGCAACCACAUU